rnacentral:lncRNA from 1 species
GGUGAAUUGCCCAGCCCUUACUUUGAGAAGCACCUAGCACCAUUGGAGCCGUGUCUCUUCGCAGAAAGAGUUAGACGUAUUGGAUGGCUACCCCACACUCUGGGUGUGCUAAUGAUCUACGGCUAGCACUUAAGGCCAUGGAGUUUACAGGCAGCAACUGACAGCUUUGCAGAACUUCCUGAGGUUAGAACUAUCCCACUGGUCCAUUGUUUCUUACUGAGUAUGUUAUGAGUAAAUCUAUAGUCACC